ensembl:snoRNA
AGCACUUUGUGUGUUUCUUCAACUUGUAGGCAGAGGCAUGAGAGACAGAUGCAAAAGCACAUCCUCUUUUGUAACCCAGAGCUCAUUGUUUAGUAUGAGUUUUGGUACAUGCAAGAAGGAGUAUG